AACCAACGUGUUUGUUUUUCCAGCCGCAGGGCUCUAGGAGUAGUGGCAAGGUACACAGCUUCGGCAAGAGGGACCAAGCCAUCAAGAGGAACCCCAAUAUCCCUGUGGUGGUCAGGGGAUGGCUCUACAAACAGGACAGCUCUGGAAUGAGACUGUGGAAGAGGAAGUGGUUUGUGUUGUCCGACUACUGCUUGUUUUAUUACAAAGACAGCAGAGAGGAGACGGUUUUGGGGAGCAUCCCCCUGCCCAGUUAUGUCAUCGCCCCUGUGGAGCCUGAUGACCACAUCAGCCGCAAGUAUGCCUUCAAGGUAAGACUAGAGGGCAAGGGUGGGAACU